UACGUAGGUCCCGAGCGUUGUCCGGAUUUAUUGGGCGUAAAGCGAGCGCAGGUGGUUUAUUAAGUCUGGUGUAAAAGGCAGUGGCUCAACCAUUGUAUGCAUUGGAAACUGGUAGACUUGAGUGCAGGAGAGGAGAGUGGAGUUCCAUGUGUAGCGGUGAAAUGCGUAGAUAUAUGGAGGAACACCGGUGGCGAAAGCGGCUCUCUGGCCUGUAACUGACACUAAGGCUCGAAAGCGUGGGGAGCAAACAGG
rnacentral:rRNA from 1 species